GNUCGAACGGGUAACAGGAAGCAGCUUGCUGCUUCGCUUGACGAGUGCCGGACGGGUGAGUAAUGUCUGGGAAACUGCCUGAUGGAGGGGGAUAACUACUGGAAACGGUAGCUAAUACCGCAUAACGUCGCAAGACCAAAGAGGGGGACCUUCGGGCCUCUUGCCAUCGGAUGUGCCCAGAUGGGAUUAGCUAGUAGGUGGGGUAACGGCUCACCUAGGCGACGAUCCCUAGCUGGUCUGAGAGGAUGACCAGCCACACUGGAACUGAGACACGGUCCAGACUCCUACGGGAGGCAGCAGUGGGGAAUAUUGCACAAUGGGCGCAAGCCUGAUGCAGCCAUGCCGCGUGUAUGAAGAAGGCCUUCGGGUUGUAAAGUACUUUCAGCGGGGAGGAAGGCGAUAAGGUUAAUAACCUUGUCGAUUGACGUUACCCGCAGAAGAAGCACCGGCUAACUCCGUGCCAGCAGCCGCGGUAAUACGGAGGGUGCAAGCGUUAAUCGGAAUUACUGGGCGUAAAGCGCACGCAGGCGGUCUGUCAAGUCGGAUGUGAAAUCCCCGGGCUCAACCUGGGAACUGCAUUCGAAACUGGCAGGCUAGAGU
rnacentral:rRNA from 1 species